UAGAAGUUAGUUUAACUGUAAAACCAUGGCUUGUGGCGCCGUAGAUAAUCUUCUGAUUACUCCUAC
rnacentral:tRNA from 1 species